UACAGAGGUCUCAAGCGUUGUUCGGAUCCAUUGGGCGUAAAGGGUGCGUAGGCGGCGCGGUAAGUCGGGUGUGAAAUCUCGGGGCUUAACUCCGAAACUGCAUUCGAUACUGCCGUGAUUGAGGACUGGAGAGGAGACUGGAAUUUACGGUGUAGCGGUGAAAUGCGUAGAUAUCGUAAGGAAGACCAGUGGCGAAGGCGGGUCUCUGGACAGUUCCUGACGCUGAGGCACGAAGGCCAGGGGAGCAAACGGG
rnacentral:rRNA from 1 species